rnacentral:rRNA from 1 species
AAUAGAUACCCAGGUAGUCCACGCCGUAAACGAUGAGUGCUAAGUGUUGGAGGGUUUCCGCCCUUCAGUGCUGCAGCUAACGCAUUAAGCACUCCGCCUGGGGGAGUACGGUCGCAAGACUGAAACUCAAAGGAAUUGACGGGGGCCCGCACAAGCGGUGGAGCAUGUGGUUUAAUUCGAAGCAACGCGAAGAACCUUACCAGGUCUUGACAUCUCCUGACCGCCCUGGAGACAGGGUCUUCCCUUCGGGGACAGGAUGACAGGUGGUGCAUGGUUGUCGUCAGCUCGUGUCGUGAGAUGUUGGGUUAAGUCCCGCAACGAGCGCAACCCUUGGUUCUAGUUGCCAGCAUUCAGUUGGGCACUCUAGAGCGACUGCCGGCGACAAGUCGGAGGAAGGUGGGGAUGACGUCAAAUCAUCAUGCCCCUUAUGACCUGGGCUACACACGUGCUACAAUGGAUGGUACAAAGGGCAGCGAAGCGGCGACGCAUAAGCGAAUCCCAGAAAACCAUUCUCAGUUCGG